UUAUAUACAAUAACUGACAGAAAGCAGGUAGGAGUCUUGUUUUAGAAAGAAAUGUUAGUUAGAUUUUUUUUAGACAGCAGAAAUAGGCAAGUUUUUUGGUAUCCUUGCUCAAAAUAUAUAUAUUCAAAAUCACUAUUGCUGACACGACUGCCAUUCAACUCCCAACAUCGCUGUUCAUUUGCAUACCAACAAAAUAAUCACACCCCACCCCCAAAAUUUGAUCCAGGCUGUCCACAAAAGACAAUAUGACCUACAUACCUGACUCAUCUUUCCGCUUUAGUAAGGUUGGCAGUACUCGCUGGAGAGGAGACAUUUCUAUAAAUAACUCAUUCUUACUUUUAUAUCAAGGGUUACUGUCUCAUGUAGGUGCCGGUUCCAGGUCACUGCUUUCUUUCACAGAUGCUGUGAUCCAUCACGGUUGGUCUUAUAGGUCCCCUAGGAGGUAGUCGGGCUGCUAGGAUUGGGAUGGGAACAAGGGACCGAGGUAGAAUAAGAACAAUGAACGAAGCUAUAUGUUAGAAUACGUGAAUGGUGGAUAUUCAGGUUUAUACCCAGUAUUGGUCGAAUGCACGAAUCUGAUUGGUCAUAAGAUUUUUGCGUAAAAUUUUUGUGUAGCAUGGCUCAGACAGUAGUUCUUGACGCGACACAAACGCACGCUCGUCGCUGUAAUAAAAGCUUUUAAUAAAAGCUUUUAAUAAAAGCUCCGUAGUCAAAGACUUGUAGUAAAAGGAUUAAAAUAAACAUGGUUUAACAUAGUAAAACAGAAUAAGUUAUGCAUACUGUAGCUAGCAAAUAAAUGUAUCGACACUUUUGGUCAAAAAUGCAAGAAAAGUCGUAGUUGAUGGUUUAAUUAUCGGUGCAUAAAAUAUCGUGUACAGUAAGCCUACCGGUUUAGGUCCAGGAAGAAAAUGGCCUACCGGUUUAGGUCCGGGAAGAAAAUGGGGAUAGACUGCAAAUGCGGGGGAAUGCUACAAAUAAAUCCCUGUUGACACGAGACAUGCCCAUAAAGCCCUUAUACGAGCCAGAGUAGCACGAUAAAUCCUUGUGUGUCCUGUCUGAUGUAUUACUGGACAACCCCCCCACCCCCACCACCCCCUUUCCCCAGCGGCUUUAGCUACCCUAAUGCUCCCAAAUCCCGUUGUGUAAACUGCACCAUCAAAAUAAGCACAACAACAAAACAGUGCAGCUGUUCAAUUUUAACAAGGCCCACAUGGCUAUAAACACCAAGCCAACUGAACUGUAAAAGAACAAUUUUCCAUCCUUUUUUUUUUCUCUCUUUUUAAAAAAAAAAAUAAAAAAACAUGCAGCACGAGAGAGAACAAAUUUGGUCUUUAAAAAUCAAGGACCGGAACACAGCGACUUGUAAAAUAUCGUAUCACAAAAAUGUAGCCCAACUCACUGUUCUGACUCAAUUGCUUUUGGCUGUAUUAUAGCCAAUGUAUUCACAUUUCUGUGCGUAUAGGAGAAAAAAAAAAAGCAGUAUUUUUCCAUAAAAAUGUCAUAGCUCUUAAAAGGAACUAUCUAUUUCUAAAUGCAUGAAAGGUUGGUAUAAAAGACUAGCUAUACAAAACAAAGGAAGAGCCUCGCACGGACGAAGCUGAUUAGAAGAUAUUAAAAUACUUAAAAUUUUACUGUCAUACCAUUUCAAUAUUGAUUCUCGUGAUCCAAUACCAUAAUCCACCCUUGAUUAUGAACCGAAAUGAACUUUGGAUUGAUUUGCAGGGACGCUUUCUUGUACAGGGACAAGUGGACCAGAAUCACGGCAGCAAAAUUCCAAACCGUCUUCUUUCUAUAAUCUCCAGCUCAUGUAGUACCAACCUGGAGGUGUAUGAAUACAAACGUGAACGGUGAAUUGAAAUAAAACGACUCAAACGACCCCCUUCUGUGUGUGGAAGGGUAUUUAGGCCUUCUCGUACGAUAAGCCUCUAAACUAUACUGUAGCUCUCUCUUUCUUCUUCAAAGCAAAGGAUGAGUAUUAACCAGCCAUCAAAACAGAGAUUCCGCUUGACAAACCUGCCCCUCUAACCCCCUGUAGCCAUGUGCUCAGGACCACUGACUGAGGUCUUGAUUUGGUCCUGUUGCUCUCCCUCGAUUCACAUCAAAACAAUCCACGACAACAGAUCUCUAGGUCAGUUUGCCGACUGCACACGCGGGUCAGUGGAGGAUGGUGGCUAAAGGACACUGCGCUCAACCAUUAUCCACACAGAACAACAGAACGUAAUUCUCUGAUUUUAUUGCAGUCCAUAAUAUGUUCAUUCAUUCCGAGCCUAGUCACAAAGCUUAACGACAGUGGCGUCCGCAAAUCUGUUAGUUUUCUCUCUAGACACUGAUGUUUCUUUGCGUAUACGUGAGUCUACGUAACUCCCGCAUUGAGAUGGCAGUCGUAGUUCAGAGGUCAGUAGUGUGGCAUAUUGUUGCGUUGGACUAGGAUUUUAUCAAAAGCACCAAGAAAACCAAAAAGCUCACUGUGGACCACAGGAAAUUGUGAAGAAACAUCUCUACAGUACAUCCUGAAGAGAAUAAAAACAUAUGAGACCUGCAAAGGAGAGCUUGGAGCAACCCCGAUACCCCCACCCCCAGCCAUGGGCUGUUCCUUUCUACCAUCAGCAUAUUGCCCUGGAUGCUAAUGAAUGCGACAGCAAACCCAAGGUGAUUCGGAGUAACGAGGCGAAGUCGUGAUCAAAGAGCAUACAAUCAAGUGCUAAAACUGCGGAUCCAGAAUUCCACACAUACUCAAGGAAAGUGAUUAUAUACAUAUUAUAGACACUGAUUAUAUCCUUAGUCUGUUUAUUUGGAACGAAUGUGUACUGUUUCAAAGUCAAGCCAGUUUGGUGUUAAGGUAACAAUGAGGGAAUGGGUAAGAGUUUUGGAAAGGUUUUAUUGAUAUUGAAGUAAACAUAUGAUGAUAAGCAGGUGUGAUGCAGGCUGAGCUCUUGGCCAUCAUCUUCAUCCAUGUCUCCUCAUUUGGGUAACCUUAUCCUUAACCGGUCCUUUUUGUCGCUCAUGUGUUUAGGUCUUGAUUCUAUCUUCACUGCUCAUAUUCUGAGCACGGAUUUUCCUUUGAUGACCGUAUCUGCCUGUGCUUUGACCCCAUAACCUCACCCCACCCCACCCACUGUGAAUUCCUGAAACCCGGCUGCUUAAAAGCUGCAUUUACAUUUUACUACAUCUGCUUCUGAAGUGCUACACGGGGACCUUUUUCCUCAAAGCGCUGCCCUCACUUACCACAUCACCAAGCAUCUAUAUGGUCAGUGUCAUGACACUUGUUACAUCACGAGUAAAUCUUAGAAAGCCCAGUAUUUUACUUUGAAGCUCUCUCUCUCUCUCUCUCUCUC